rnacentral:rRNA from 1 species
AUUGAACGCUGGCGGCAGGCCUAACACAUGCAAGUCGAACGGUAACAGGAAACAGCUUGCUGUUUCGCUGACGAGUGGCGGACGGGUGAGUAAUGUCUGGGAAACUGCCUGAUGGAGGGGGAUAACUACUGGAAACGGUAGCUAAUACCGCAUAACGUCGCAAGACCAAAGAGGGGGACCUUCGGGCCUCUUGCCAUCGGAUGUGCCCAGAUGGGAUUAGCUAGUAGGUGGGGUAACGGCUCACCUAGGCGACGAUCCCUAGCUGGUCUGAGAGGAUGACCAGCCACACUGGAACUGAGACACGGUCCAGACUCCUACGGGAGGCAGCAGUGGGGAAUAUUGCACAAUGGGCGCAAGCCUGAUGCAGCCAUGCCGCGUGUAUGAAGAAGGCCUUCGGGUUGUAAAGUACUUUCAGCGGGGAGGAAGGGAGUAAAGUUAAUACCUUUGCUCAUUGACGUUACCCGCAGAAGAAGCACCGGCUAACUCCGUGCCAGCAGCCGCGGUAAUACGGAGGGUGCAAGCGUUAAUCGGAAUUACUGGGCGUAAAGCGCACGCAGGCGGUUUGUUAAGUCAGAUGUGAAAUCCCCGGGCUCAACCUGGGAACUGCAUCUGAUACUGGCAAGCUUGAGUCUCGUAGAGGGGGGUAGAAUUCCAGGUGUAGCGGUGAAAUGCGUAGAGAUCUGGAGGAAUACCGGUGGC